UUCACCAGGAACACACACAUUGAGGGAAUGUGUAAUGAGUGAGGUGUGACAGCCAGGGGCCCUGUGCCACCUAGGGAAAUAGUAGGGUGGGACCAGUACAAAUGCGGCCCCAACCAGUAAACUUCUCUAAGGACGUCUGUGACCAAUUAUCAGAAAGUCUGUGUCCACCUUCUUCAACAGCUCCUGGGCAUCCGUAGCAUUCUUCUGGAACUGCCGGAAGGCCAAGCAAGACUCUUGUUUAAAAGAGAGCCCCCAGCUGGCAGAGAGAUCAGACCCCUGCAUGGGCCCAUCACAGCUCUGCUUGUCAUGGGAGGAACAAGAUAACAGGCCUGGCGGAGAUUGCGAUUGAUGAAGUUCUAAACAGAGGUAGUGAAGGUGUCAGGCUCAGAAGGGAAUGCGUGGAGGGGACCUAUUGCUAACACACCAGAACACAGGAACCCAGGCAACAGCAGGGGGAAGGGACCCCUUGCUUACACCCCAGAUUUUACCUACCUUAAAAUGAAGGGAUCUGACUCCUCAGGGCACUCAAAACAGAGACUCCCUCAAGGCCAGGAAGCCCCAGCCCUGCUCUGCUGCAUCUUGGCCUCCUCCUUUCCUUAU